CAUCGCCUACGGGCCGCAGCAGUGGGGAAUAUUGCACAAUGGGGGGAACCCUGAUGCAGCAAUGCCGCGUGAAGGAUGAAGGUUUUCGGAUUGUAAACUUCUUUUGUACGGGACGAAGAAAGUGACGGUACCGUAACAAUAAGCCACGGCUAACUACGUGCCAGCAGCCGCGGUACUACGUAGGUGGCAAGCGUUAUCCGGUUUUACUGGGUGUAAAGGGCGAGUAGGCGGGAUUGCAAGUCAG
rnacentral:rRNA from 1 species